UACGUAGGGGGCUAGCGUUGUUCGGAAUUACUGGGCGUAAAGCGCACGUAGGCGGCUUUGUAAGUUAGAGGUGAAAGCCCGGGGCUCAACCCCGGAAUAGCCUUUAAGACUGCAUCGCUUGAACACGGGAGAGGUGAGUGGAAUUCCGAGUGUAGAGGUGAAAUUCGUAGAUAUUCGGAAGAACACCAGUGGCGAAGGCGGCUCACUGGACCGUUGUUGACGCUGAGGUGCGAAAGCGUUGGGGAGCAAACAGG
rnacentral:rRNA from 1 species